CAAUCCAAACCCCACAGCACCACCUACUUCAUUCUUGAAAUAUGGCUAUACCUUUACUCAAACAGUUUUGAAAUUCCCAUGACCAGGAACCACUAGAGCACCUUAGGAACUUCUGUUGCUCAUCAUGAUGGAAUAAAAGAAGAACUUCAUUGUGAGGAAGUCAUUAAAAUGCUGGAGAAUAAAGACAUCAGUGAGUUUUAGCCCUCUGAUAAUGGGGCCUAUGGCAGAUGAGUGUAGGUGUGUGCAAAGAAAUCUGUGCCAUUGCCAUGAAGAUCUGGAAUUUGCUUCCAAACAGCAUAUUACUGACGUUAUGCAACAAGCACACCCUCAUAUGUCAAGGUAUCCUGUUGUGGUUCAGGGCUAUGCUCAGAAUCAUGUUUCUACUCUGAAUUGCGAAAGGUGUAUGAGACAGCAAAGAUGGUAUUUUCUCCUGGAGGCCAUGAUUCACCAUCAUUUGCUAUAACUCCCUGCAGCACUACGUCCCAGUUGAACAAUUUCUAUUUUCUUGAAGCAAAUACCAAAUUCCCUGUGGUGCCUCAAGAACCACCAUAAAAACUAGAGAAUGUCCCAAUGGCUUCACAAUCCAUAUGGGGAGACAUUCAGCCCCUAGUAGCAACAGUUCACCUCUAGGAAGAGGAUUCAUCUCUGCUGCCGUAUGCCCAUUGGAAAAUACAAAAAAAUGCCCAUUCCUCACUACCUCUUACUUCAUUCUUGAAAUAUGGCUAUACCUAUACCCUGAAAAAUUGGAAAUUCUCAUAACCUAGAACCACUGGAGCACCUUAGAAGCUCCUUACUUUUCAUCAUGACUGAAUGAAAGGGAGAAUUUAUUGACAGCAACUCAUGAAAAUGCUGGAGAUCACAGAACCAGUGAGUUUUAGCAUGCUGAUGAUGGGGCCUGGGGCAGAGGAGAGGAGGUAUGUGUCAAGAAAUCUGUGACCAAACCAUGAAGAUGUGGUAUUGGCUUCCAAACAGCAUGUUUUUCAAAUCAUGCAGUCAGCAGACCCUCCUAAGUCAAAGCAUCCUGUUGUCGAAAUUGGAUUGGAACUAUGUUCAGACUCAGGGUUCUAGUCUGAGUUGGGAAACAUGUAUGGAAUUACAGUCAGGCUAAUGUUUUCUCCUGCAGAUAUUGAUUCACCACCAGUGAUGUAACGCCCUUCAUCACUAUGUCCCAGUUGACCUUCACAUUCAUCUUCAAGCAAAUAUCAAACUCCCUGUGAUGGCAUUAGAACCAUUGUGAAAGCUCGAGGAUGGCCCAAUGGCUUCACACUGCACACACAGAGACAUUAAGCCCCAAGUGGCCACAGUUCACCUCCAGGAAGAGGAUUCAGCUCUCCUGCCUCAUGCACAUUGGAAAACAGAAAACUAUGUCUUUCUCCAGUUCACACAGAUGGAGGUCCAGCUAUGAUCAUCUUACUGCCAAAGGAGGCAAGGCUCCUGACAACAAUAUAAAUUUCAAGUACGAAAACUUAGAGACAGGCUGUCAAGAAACUAUUAGGCCAGCACACUUCCAUGUUUGUGGAAGGUUUACCUGUACCUUAAUUUUAUAUGCUUUUCUGUGAACUCCUUCAUUGUGAGCUUCUCAGCAUAUCCCAUUCCAGAUAACCCAUCUCAGAUAUCAUUAUUCUCCCUCUCUACUUGUGUUUUAUUUGGGUCCAUGGAAAUUUUAUGUCAUUGCUUAUGAUGGAAUUUUGGAAAUACAUUUGCAUAACACAAGCUUGCAUGCUUUUGUAGGAAUUUUCUUAUUUUAUUUAUCAUCCACAUAUUCAAUUUCUUACCCUAAACCUAACCCUACUAAAUAUUGACUAAAUUUCCUAAUAUUAUUGGUAAAACUAAACCUAAUAGAAAAGAAAUACAGCUAGACCAGAUGAGGCCUUACAUAUAUUUGGAAUUGCUUUUUCCAUUUUGAUUGUUAGGUGUUACCAAACUAGUCUCAUAUUCAUUAAAAUACUUAUCCAUAAGUCCUCAAAUUGAAAAAAAGGUAGAAUAAUCUGACUCUCACUACAAUUUAGCCUGGGACAGAAGACAUAUUUUCAUAUACAUACCUAUUUUCAUACAUGAUUCCACAUAUACAUUCUUAUGGGUUCCCUGAUGUUGGAAGAUACCAAUUCUCUAAGCACAACAUGCAGCAUCAAGUUGGGCUGGAAAUAAAAAUUCAACAUAACAUGACCUCCAUCACAGGACAAUUAUUGAAAUGAAAGCAAUGAAGUGAAAUAAAUAUGUAUGUGUACUUUGAAUGUUGUAUAUUCUAUUAUAAAUGGCAUGUAUUCAUAUCAAUUCAUAUCUAAUAGACAAAUAAGUCUAUUAGUAUAGACUUAUGUAUAUAAUGGAGAUACAGGGCACAUAUUAUGCAAUAUUGAAUAAGUGAAUAACUCUGUACUGUGACCUGAGUUGAUAGUGUGUAUUUAUGUGGACUCUUGUGCAUACUUUCACAAGCUCAUUCCCAGGAAUAUUCAUAUUUCCUGCUAUACAUAGUCAUUUUCUUAUACUCACUCUAACCUCAUUCAAUAUUGAAUAGUUACCCUAAUUUUGCCACAGUAACUAUACCUAAUGAUAUGGAUAUUGAUUUAUGCAUUCCUUAUCAUUGGUACAUAGCCCUUAAUUUAGUUCAUAUUCAACCUAUGAUAUAUACAUUCAACCCCAUAUUUAAAAUUGUGUAUACAUGUGAUUGACUUUAAAUAAUUUCCUGUUUUAGAACACAUAUAUUCAUACAUGUGUUCUUACUUAUUUUCUCAUCAACAUUCUUCUGAUCAUACAUCAUGUUUAUUAAACCUAUUCAUUUUCUAAGCAAAAUCCAAAUAAACUCACUACGUGUAAUGAUUCUUAAUGUAACCACAAUACUGAGAUCUACUUUGAAUUUAUGCAUACUCAUGAAUAUCAGAUUGUGUGCAUAUUUUUAUAGUAUUUUUUAAAAGAGAGGGGGAGAGAGAGAGACAGAGAAUAUUUUAGUAUUUAUUUUUUAGUUUUUGGUGGACCCAACAUCUUUAUUUUAUUUUUAUGUGGUGCUGAGGAUCGAACCCAGCGGCCUGUGCAUUCCAGGUGAGCACACUACCUCUUGAACCACAUCCCCAGCCCAUUGUGUGCAUAUUUAAAUCCCAGUUUCAAAUUUCCCUUUUACGUUUGCAUGAAAAAUAUUAUGUAUUUAUCUUAGCAUACAUUCAUGCAUCAACUAGAUAAAAAUUGUGAUAUAUAAAACACUCCAUAUAUCUUCCCCUAUCGAAAAACUCUAAUGUAUACAUUUUCCAAUAUUUGCCCAAGUAUGGUGAAAGAAAAGACUCAUGUUAUCUGACAUACAUCUUCAUUUCAUAAAAGAAACCUUACUGACACAAAAUUCAAUAUUAAUCCGGAACUUCUGUUUGUACCAAACCUGAACUUUAAAAGAAAUCCUGUAUUCCUAUGAACGUACAUGUGUAUGUUGAGCAAUCCAUUAAAUAUUCAUUGAUAUUCUUGCCUACAGAUUUUGUGUUUUCAUGAUAUUAUAUAUUCUGCCAUUCACAAUUUAAAAAUACUAAUAAUCAUUUAACUCACCUGAUACAUUUCUGUAUCUCAGGACUUACAUAUUUUUAUCUGUUUUCAUACAUAUUUUCCCAUGUUCCUUCUAAUGAUUAUUCAUGUGUGCUAACAUGCACAUUCAAUAUCUAACACAACCCCUGUUGCCAAAGAAAAUUUAGUACAAAUCCUCAACUCAUUCUUCUUCCUAAAUCUACAUUGUAAAUGUGCCUACUGUGCAUAUUUCAGUGGAUGUUGACUUAUACAUUCACUUAACAAUGGUACACUUCUUAGAUCGUCAUAUAUUGAUUCUUAGGAUAUAUUGGAGUGUCCGUG
rnacentral:lncRNA from 1 species